UAUUUGAGUCCAGAACUGAGGGAAUGGGCUGUAGCAAGUGUGCCCCGUUUGGUUUACAUGGGUUCUUGUAAGUAUGGUGCCAGUGGGCACAGAGGAGCUGUUUGCAUCCAUGAGAUCCUUAAGAGGCUUCAAGAGGUGCAGUUUGUGAAAGAAGGAUAGAUGUGAGGCCCCAUCUGGUGGAAAAAGAGUUUUGUCUGAAGAUGGGGGUCCAGUUGGGCAAAGAACAAGUGAAGUAGACGUAUGCCUGUAGGGGACAUGAAGUACUUAUUCCCAAAAUGGAAGUGGAUUUGAUGUCACGUUUGCAAGUUAAGAAUCCACUUUCCGACCACAGAGAUGGAAAUAUCAGCAUCUCCGGAGAAGACUUCGGUGUGUGUUGUUUGGAGCAAUCGGGCUUUGAUAUUGUAUUAUUUGGGUCAAGAUG